rnacentral:rRNA from 1 species
GGGGAGCGGCAGACGGGUGAGUAACGCGUGGGAAUCUACCUUUUGCUACGGAAUAACUCAGGGAAACUUGUGCUAAUACCGUAUGUGCCCUUCGGGGGAAAGAUUUAUCGGCAAAGGAUGAGCCCGCGUUGGAUUAGCUAGUUGGUGGGGUAAAGGCCCACCAAGGCGACGAUCCAUAGCUGGUCUGAGAGGAUGAUCAGCCACACUGGGACUGAGACACGGCCCAGACUCCUACGGGAGGCAGCAGUGGGGAAUAUUGGACAAUGGGCGCAAGCCUGAUCCAGCCAUGCCGCGUGAGUGAUGAAGGCCCUAGGGUUGUAAAGCUCUUUCACCGGUGAAGAUAAUGACGGUAACCGGAGAAGAAGCCCCGGCUAACUUCGUGCCAGCAGCCGCGGUAAUACGAAGGGGGCUAGCGUUGUUCGGAUUUACUGGGCGUAAAGCGCACGUAGGCGGACUUUUAAGUCAGGGGUGAAAUCCCAGAGCUCAACUCUGGAACUGCCUUUGAUACUGGAAGUCUUGAGUAUGGUAGAGGUGA